UUUUAGCAUCAAGAGUCGGCAAAAGGUCGCCCCAACCGAGCUAUAGUUAAGUGUCACGGUGGGAAAACGAUGCGGAUUGUCUCACAAUUUAAAGUACUUAA
rnacentral:ncRNA from 2 species